GAUGAACGCUGGCGGCGUGCCUAAUACAUGCAAGUAGAACGCUGAAGGAGGAGCUUGCUCUUUCCGGAUGAGUUGCGAACGGGUGAGUAACGCGUAGGUAACCUGCCUGGUAGCGGGGGAUAACUAUUGGAAACGAUAGCUAAUACCGCAUAACAGUAGAUAUUGCAUGAUAUUUGCUUGAAAGGGGCAAUUGCUCCACUACCAGAUGGACCUGCGUUGUAUUAGCUAGUUGGUGAGGUAACGGCUCACCAAGGCGACGAUACAUAGCCGACCUGAGAGGGUGAUCGGCCACGCUGGGACUGGGACACGGCCCAGCCUCCUACGGGAGGCAGCAGUAGGGCAUCUUCGGCAAUGGACGGAAGUCUGACCGAGCAACGCCGCGUGAGUGAAGAAGGUUUUCGGGUCGUAAAGCUCUGUUGUAAGAGAAGAACGAGUGUGAGAGUGGAAAGUUCACACUGUGACGGUAUCUUACCAGAAAGGGACGGCUAACUACGUG
rnacentral:rRNA from 1 species